GAUGAAGAACGCAGCGAAAUGCGAUAAGUAGUGUGAAUUGCAGAAUUCCGUGAAUCAUCGAAUCUUUGAACGCACAUUGCGCCUUCUGGUAUUCCGGAAGGCAUGCCUGUUCGAGAGUCAUUAACAACCGUUUCGAUCCCUUUCUUUCAGAAAUUACAAAGAGGAAAAGGGUUUGGUUAUGGUGGAGGAGGGAAAGGGAGCGUUUAGCCUGUAAAAAAAGAGGCUGUGUUCCGCCUCCCCCCCAAAAUUGUACAGGCGGUCGUGUGCGCCCACGCAUCGAGGUGUUGUAAAAGCUGCCACGGCACUUUUCACCUGUGCAGUGCGAGAUUGGCCAGCCGGUUUAAAAACCCCUCCAAACAAUCAAAGGUUGACCUCGGAUCAGGUAGGGAUACCCGCUGAACUUUAGCAUAUCAAUAAGCGGAGGA
rnacentral:misc_RNA from 1 species